GUCGAGCGGUAGAGAGGUGCUUGCACCUCUUGAGAGCGGCGGACGGCUGAGUAAAGCCUAGGAAUCUGCCUGGUAGUGGGGGAUAACGCUCGGAAACGGACGCUAAUACCGCAUACGUCCUACGGGAGAAAGCAGGGGACCUUCGGGCCUUGCGCUAUCAGAUGAGCCUAGGUCGGAUUAGCUAGUUGGUGAGGUAAUGGCUCACCAAGGCGACGAUCCGUAACUGGUCUGAGAGGAUGAUCAGUCACACUGGAACUGAGACACGGUCCAGACUCCUACGGGAGGCAGCAGUGGGGAAUAUUGGACAAUGGGCGAAAGCCUGAUCCAGCCAUGCCGCGUGUGUGAAGAAGGUCUUCGGAUUGUAAAGCACUUUAAGUUGGGAGGAAGGGCAUUAACCUAAUACGUUAGUGUUUUGACGUUACCGACAGAAUAAGCACCGGCUAACUCUGUGCCAGCAGCCGCGGUAAUACAGAGGGUGCAAGCGUUAAUCGGAAUUACUGGGCGUAAAGCGCGCGUAGGUGGUUCGUUAAGUUGGAUGUGAAAUCCCCGGGCUCAACCUGGGAACUGCAUUCAAAACUGUCGAGCUAGAGUAUG
rnacentral:rRNA from 1 species